CAGGAAGUAGUUUAAUUAGAAUAUUAGCUUUGGGAGUUAAAGGUAGGGUUUGRUGCCUUCUUCUUGA
rnacentral:tRNA from 1 species